AACACUGCAUUUCGCCCCUAUAACGCUUCUGUGUCAAUAUGUAUUUACUAAUCUAAAUCAAAAGAGCUGUGUGGACUGCCACACCUGAUUAAUAGCCUCUAAUAGUGGAGUCAAAUCCAGGUAAGUAGCGUCUACUCUCGGUGACUGGGAGCAAGGAUUUAAAGGUGAUGUCGCCAAACCACCCUCGUCACACUGUUUCCGGACAACCUGGAUGCAAUCUUGAUCUCGCAGAAUAAACUUGGAUAAUCAAAACGGUGGUGAGGCUUCCACAAACGUCUCCUCUAGCAUUGUCUCUUUAAUGCUGUCUCUUCUCUAGUGUUGGCUCUUUUCUAGGGCUGUCCCUUUAAUGUUGGCUCUUCUCUAGUGCUGUCUUUUCUCUAGAGUGAUCCAGAUGCCCUUCUCUGGUCGGAGUAUGAGGUCUCCCACAGGUCUCAAAUCCUCUCGGUUCUGGCAAGCCUGAACAGAAAAGUGACGCAACACAGACGACAGCACCACCUUCUCCUCCAUCAUGGCAAACCGCUGGCCUGGAGAAACAGACAUAUAGAUAUAAACGAGCAUGUGAGGACACCAUACACCAACACAGGCUGUGUCCAAAUACCUGUACCUGAACGAAGCUUUUCUGGUUAUGCAAUAAAUAGAAUGAUUAAUAGGAUGGUACAUAUCUAAAAUUGACUACAUAAAGAAUACAUUUUUAUACACACUUGUGGGUUUCAAAACUGAAUAGCAGUUGAAUUUGGCCUUAGGCUACUUCCAUAAUCUCCGUGAAAAAUUUAAAAUAAAUAUGACAAAUCAGGUAAACCAAAUUUGAAUCUGAAGGAUAUAGGUCUGUGGUGUGUAGUCACUUAAAUGCAGCAGAAUGGCAUUGGGAAGUAAAUGAAAACCUCAGAUCAUCACGUAACAGUUGAGUGUGAAAAAGGAGGUUUACCACCUAUAAACAUGCAGAGGGAAACACAAAACAUGUAGCCUUUUAUUGA